rnacentral:rRNA from 1 species
CACUGUCACUCCUACGGGAGGCAGCAGUGGGGAAUAUUGCACAAUGGGCGCAAGCCUGAUGCAGCCAUGCCGCGUGUGUGAAGAAGGCCUUCGGGUUGUAAAGCACUUUCAGUCGUGAGGAAGGUAGUGUAGUUAAUAGCUGCAUUAUUUGACGUUAGCGACAGAAGAAGCACCGGCUAACUCCGUGCCAGCAGCCGCGGUAAUACGGAGGGUGCGAGCGUUAAUCGGAAUUACUGGGCGUAAAGCGCAUGCAGGUGGUUUGUUAAGUCAGAUGUGAAAGCCCCGGGGCUCAACCUCGGAAUUGCAUUUGAAACUGGCAGACUAGAGUACUGUAGAGGGGGUAGAAUUUCAGGUGUAGCGGUGAAAUGCGUAGAGAUCUGAAGGAAUACCGGUGGCGAAGGCGCCCCCCUGGACAGAUACUGACACUCAGAUGCGAAAGCGUGGGGAGCAAACAGGAUUAGAUACCCUGGUAG